UACGGAGGGUGCAAGCGUUGUCCGGAAUCAUUGGGCGUAAAGAGCGCGUAGGCGGUCCGGUAAGUCCGCUGUGAAAGUCAAGGGCUCAACCCUUGAAUGCCGGUGGAUACUGUCGGGCUAGAGUCCGGAAGAGGCGAGUGGAAUUCCUGGUGUAGCGGUGAAAUGCGCAGAUAUCAGGAGGAACACCUAUGGCGAAGGCAGCUCGCUGGGACGUUACUGACGCUGAGACGCGAAAGCGUGGGGAGCAAACAGG
rnacentral:rRNA from 1 species